AUGAAAGAAGGGGCAACAAUGUCGGAAGAAGGGGCAACAAUGUCGGAAGAAGGGGCAACAAUGUCGGAUGAAGGGGCAACAAUGUCGGAUGAAGGGGCAACAAUGUCGGAUGAAGGGGCAACGGCGUCGGAAGAAGGGGAAGGGGCAACGGCGUCGGAAGAAGGGGAAGGGGCAACUGUGUCGGAAGAAGGGGCAACGGCUUCGGAAGAAGGGGCAAUUGCGUCGAAAGAAGGGGCAAUGGAUGCCACUGGUAGUGAAGAGGAGUCCGAUGCCUUGUCUAAUGGCAGCCCCAUACCACCUAAGAGGGGAAGGGGUAGGCCCAAAGGAUCAGGCUCCAAGAAACCUAAGAUACUGAGGGUACUAGACAAGCAGCCACGGGGCAGGCCACGUAAAGUGGUUGACCCUAAUGCUGUUUCAGCAGAGCGUGGCCGGCCCAAAAAAGUUCAGCAAAAAAAAAAAUUGGGUAGGCCGAGGAAGUACCUGUCACCCGAGGAGGAAGAGGAGAGAAAGAUAAUGGAAAGCCAACCUAGAGUGUGGAAGCCGCUCGGAAGGCCGCGCAUCCAUCCCCGCAGGGAUCCCCCCGCCACACCCACCUCUGCCGAGCCACGGAGAAGAGGCCGUCCACUCAAGGCAUCAACAGAUAGAGGUGCCAACUUACAGACGAACCCACCUCCAACUUCUAAAGUUUCAAAGCCCCCCGCUAAAGAUGAUUCCCCGCGAAAGAGUGGCCGCCCCUUAGGCUCCUUCAAAGCCAAGAGAGCAGCAGAGACGGAUAGGUCCAACAGUUCACCCUCAGCCAAACAGGGUUGCACUGUUUCUCCAAUAGUAAGGCUUUACCGCUGCUCCAACGGUAAAGCAAAUGUGUUCGAUGAAGCUGCCUUCCAAGCCCAGAGGCAAAAAGGCAAGAGAAAGUCUGUGAACGCUGAUUAUACAGCGUAUGAUUCAGAGGAGGAAAAUGAAGAUACACAGAGAAAUGAGGAUGAAGUCUUUUCUCUAGUAGAAGAUGACAAAGAAGAGGAAAUUAAACCACGCGAUGGUCAUGGCAAGGCUAGUAAACCUGGUAAGGUAGUGGCAGCUAUUAAGAAAAAAGAAGUGGUUGUUCCUAAGAGGGGGGGCAGAAAGCCUGGCUCAAUCAAAAAGGUUGUAAAGUAA
rnacentral:lncRNA from 1 species